rnacentral:rRNA from 1 species
CCCUUAGAUGUCCUGGGCCGCACGCGUGCUACACUGACACUUACACCGAGUUUUUCCGGCCCCGAGAGGUGGCUGGUAAUCAGUAAUAGGUGUCGUGAUGGGGAUAGAUCUUUGGAAUUAUUGAUCUUGAACGAGGAAUGCCUAGUAAUCGUAGGUCAUCAGCCUGCGAUGAUUACGUCCCUGCCCUUUGUACACACCGCCCGUCGCACCUACCGAUUGAAUGGUCCGGUGAAAUCUCCGGACUGGCGUGAGUCGGAGCAAUCUGACAAACACCGGAAAGUUGAUUAAACCUUACCAUUUAGAGGAAGGUGAAGUCGUAACA